CCCCGGUAAACGGCGGCCGUAACUAUAACGGUCCUAAGGUAGCGAAAUUCCUUGUCGGGUAAGUUCCGACCUGCACGAAUGGCGUAAUGAUGGCCAGGCUGUCUCCACCCGAGACUCAGUGAAAUUGAACUCGCUGUGAAGAUGCAGUGUACCCGCGGCAAGACGGAAAGACCCCGUGAACCUUUACUAUAGCUUGACACUGAACAUUGAGCCUUGAUGUGUAGGAUAGGUGGGAGGCUUUGAAGUGUGGACGCCAGUCUGCAUGGAGCCGACCUUGAAAUACCACCCUUUAAUGUUUGAUGUUCUAACGUGGACCCGUAAUCCGGGUUGCGGACAGUGUCUGGUGGGUAGUUUGACUGGGGCGGUCUCCUCCUAAAGAGUAACGGAGGAGCACGAAGGUUGGCUAAUCCUG
rnacentral:rRNA from 2 species